rnacentral:rRNA from 1 species
CCUACGGGCGGCAGCAGUGAGGAAUAUUGGUCAAUGGGCGAGAGCCUGAACCAGCCAAGUCGCGUGAGGGAGUACUGCCCCAUGGGUUGUAAACCUCUUUUGUCGGGGAGCAAAAGCCGGACGUGUCCGGCUGUGAGAGUACCCGAAGAAAAAGCAUCGGCUAACUCCGUGCCAGCAGCCGCGGUAAUACGGAGGAUGCGAGCGUUAUCCGGAUUUAUUGGGUUUAAAGGGUGCGCAGGCGGAUUUUUAAGUCAGCGGUAAAAUCGUGGGGCUCAACCCCAUCCAGCCGUUGAAACUGGGGAUCUAGAGUGUGCGAGAGGUAUGCGGAAUGCGUGGUGUAGCGGUGAAAUGCAUAGAUAUCACGCAGAACCCCGAUUGCGAAGGCAGCAUACCGGUGCACAACUGACGCUCAGGCACGAAAGCGUGGGUAUCGAACAGGAUUAGAUACCCCUGUAGUC